rnacentral:tRNA from 1 species
UCCCGAGCGGCCAAAGGGAUCAGACUGUAAAUCUGACGGCUCUGCCUUCGAAGGUUCGAAUCCUUCC